AGAAUAAGAAACAUUCUUACCUAUGCCACAUCAGAUCAGAAAAUCAACCACUAAUAUUUUAGCAAUCAUCCAUGUCAUUUUUGGGCUUCGUGUUUUGUUUUAGACUUCUUUUUUUACAUUUUCUUAUUUUGUUUUGUGCUUCUUUUCCUUGCAACUCAUUCUCUCUUUCCGUCGUUCUUCUUACCUUUCGACUUCCACAUCUUCCAUUACUCUUCUCUCCAAAUCGGUUUCAUCGCAUACCUUCACCUCUCUAAUCAAACUUUGCUUGAACUCAUUCAAUGGAUCCUUUUCACCUUCCUCUCCCUUUGUCUAUUUAUAAAUCUCUUCUCUUAGCUUGUGUCUCGAUUAAAAUUGAAAAGCUUCUCUCAAACAAUCAUCCCGAUGGAACCCAAAGGAAACACUUCAAUCUCCAGCGACCGCAAGACCAACAAGAAGACCGUCGUCUUCCUCUUUCACAUGCGGUGCUAAGCAGAAUAGAGUCCCGGUCUAGAUUGAGCCUCCUAAGCAGUGUCGCUAGAUUUCUACUCGAAGCUGUGAACGCCUGAAUCAAAUCAGAGUAAUAAUUUCACAAAUUCUCGGGGAGAACACUGAUCGGAGUGAUGGGGAGACUUGGCUUGGGUUACCAUACGAUCCAUCAAAGAAAGAGGAAGAAGCACCAUAGCUGAAAGAAGAAGGUUCAGAUCUGGAGACAUAAGGUUUGAAUUUGGAGGAAGAUGUUUUAAAAAUGUAUUUAUGUUACCUAUCACACUUCUGAAUCUAGAUUUUGCCAUGGAAUAGCAUUGGUGCCAAGUUAGCUUCGUUAGGUCUUCGAACCAGCGCCUUGGUUCUGUUAACAAUUGAACAAGCGAUUAAGGUAUUACACGUCAACCCUUUGGUUCCAGUCUUUCGCCUAUUUUCUUUUAUAUGCACAAAUAUACUUUCUUUUUGAUUUUAGAUUGGGUUCAGACACAUUGACGAUCACGAGAAAGAGGUAAAACAUUACUCAUAUCACUGAAUUUAAGAGACCAUAUGAUGUUAAGUCUUUGUGGUUGACAUGUCCUGCCUCUUGCAUGUUACGUUCUCCUCAUGCUAUGAUUCAGUUUACUAGAUUGGUAGUGUAUUGAAUAAAUUAAUAGAUUGUGGUUUCGUGAAGCGUAAGGAGUUCAUCACUUGGAAACUUUCGUUUGUCUUUAUUUGGUUUGUAUCAUUCUUCGUAUUUCUAUUACACUAGCAGCAAGUGUCUUUUGAAGAAUAUCACGGGAAACAUCAAUUGGGAGAUCGUGGGAGUCAACAACACCUUAAUAAAGCUCAAAUCCUGAAGAAAUUAUUUACAAGUCACCACAAAAAGGAAGGAAAUGUAAAGGCUGACAUGGAAACUGAUAUAUCAAUGAAGGAAGAUCUUGAAACAAUGCUGACCAUAACAAGAAAUAAGCUCAACGACAUACACAAGGUUAAACCAAUGCAAGUCUAAAAAUGUUAAUAGAGAGUUUCAGAAUACACACUAAGGUGUUUAUGGGUGUUAGAUUCAGAAUACACACUAAGGUGUUCGUGGGUGUUUGAUUAUGAUUGAGUUUUUGUCUGUAGUGAUGGUAUAUUGUAAUAGCUUCGGCGAAGUUAUAAUAAGAGUGUCGAAAAUGCUUACUAACUUAAAUAAGCAACUAAGAGUGUUAUCUACAAUUUAAACAACCAACACAAAUAAAUUUCCACAAAAAAAGCCUCUCUCCAGUGAAGUAUAGAAGACUCACAAAAAGUUCACCAUACAAAGCCAAGUAGUAGAAAUUACAUAAUGCAUUGAUCGUCCAGAGCAAGUACAAAUGGAAAGCUGAGAAAAUGGAGAUGGUUCCAAGAAAAGAAAUAAUUUCUUGAAUAAAUUGUUGUUCAGAAGGAAAAGAGCGAACAUCAAAAAAAUGUUUUGCCUUAAUUUUGUAAUCAACAAAUGUUUGUAUUGGUGAUCAAUAUUGGGGAGGGAACUAGAAGCGAGGAUGACAAAGAUUGCGCCAGCUAAAUUUGAGAGCAACAUGUACAUGACACAAUGCAUUUGUGAAACGAUUUGUCCCAUAAGUGAUAUGGCAUGAUUAUAGAGAAUUAGUAAUUUAGCAAAUAUUUAUCUUUAAAUUAGCCAUUUGAAAAAUAUAUAUUUGACUGCUGUGGCUUUACAAAUAAAUUUGCUUUACAAAUUUUAGGAAUUAAAAAAAUUGACUGUUGCUUUAGAAAAAUCCUAAAGCCAUAAUUUGUUGUUUUUUGAAACCAUUUACGUAAGAUACUAAAGGAAGAGUAAAUUCAGUUAUUGUGGCUUUGAGAAUCUUAAGGAAGACUUUAAAGACUUUAGAAGUUCUAAAGUCUGAUUGGUAAUAAUUUGACUUUAAAGGCUUUAGAUCUAAUUGUUGUAGUAUUUCUAAAGCAACAGAAACUAAUACAAACAUUUACAAAAUACUUUCAUGUUAAAAUAGUAAAUAAUUUUAUCCAUUUACAAUUUACUAACUUAUUCAAUAAUCUCAAAACAAAGGAUGCAAACAUUAAAAUAAAAUUAAUAUACCUUGAGAGCAUUGACAUAUAUUGUAUUUUAAAUAGUUUAUGCAAAAUGAUCUCAAAUUCACUAAAAUAUAUAGAGAAUUUGUACUUCUUACACACCAAAUCUACCCUAUUUGCAUUACAUACUUUCCCACCAAUUUUCUUCCCCCAAUAAUUACCAUUUUCUCCCUAUUCUAUAGUAUCCCACUAACUUUAGUAUAUUGAGCUAAUUUGCUCAAAUAUAUAUUAGAAGCCAAAUUACAUAUUUAAAUCUUCAUGUAAAACUUGACGCUAGCGUUGAAAAACCUCCAGGAAAUCUUUUUUUUUUUAACAAUAGGAAAUCUUCUCAUUUCCACCACAAUAGAAGUAGUCUUCGCUGGUAAAAAAAAGAGAAAAACAAUGAGUGCGAGAGAAUGAAAGAAACCGACACAGAAAAAUGGAACGAGA